rnacentral:rRNA from 1 species
AUGUUCCGGAUGAAGAAUCUCGGUCAUGAAACCGAAGCCAUAAAUAGUGCAAGGGACAAGGUGCUCAAAAUGAUGAGGAUGAUGAACCCAAAGGUUUUUAUUUCAGGCACCGUAAAUGGGUUAUGCAGUUCUCCCUUCUUCAUAAAACGUUUCAAAGAGGUUAUGUUCCAUUACUCUUCAAUGUUUGACAUGCUUGAUGCAAACGUAGUUCCACGGGAUAAUGAAGCAAGAAAGAUGAUUGAGAGGAUGAUAUUUGGGAAGGAUGCACUUAACAUGAUAGCAUGUGAGGGUGCAGAAAGAACUGAGAGACCAGAAAGUUACAGGCAGUGGCACGCAAGGUGCCUCAAGGCCGGGUUCCAGCAGCUUCCCGUCGAUCCAGCUAUCUUAAGGAUAAUAGUAUACAUGAAGAACACGUUUUGGCAUGAGGAAUUCUUUGCUGUUGAAGAUCGCGGUUGGCUGCUACAAGGAUGGAAAGGGAGAGUAAUUUAUGCAAUAUCUAAAUGGAAACCUGAUGAAACAUACGACGGUCGGACGUGGACGACAUUAGGGGGGGGUGAGCUCCUAGUUGCCCGAGGGGACUACCAAAUCAUGGGGAAUCAGAGGGGGAGAGGGGGGAGGGACCUUGGAGGCGGGCGCAGAGUGUGGGGCCGGAGAAGAGGCCCUACGCGUCGUCUUCCGUCGCAUUCGCCGCCGCCGCCGGCGACCUGCCGGGCUUCCUCUUGGCGGCCAUGGAGAGGUCAC